rnacentral:rRNA from 1 species
UACGUAGGGUGCAAGCGUUAAUCGGAAUUGCUGGGCGUAAAGCGUGCGUAGGCGGUCCGCGAAGUCUGAUGUGAAAGCCCCGGGCUCAACCUGGGAACUGCAUUGGAAACUAACGGGCUCGAGUGUGGCAGAGGGGGGUGGAAUUCCACGUGUAGCAGUGAAAUGCGUAGAGAUGUGGAGGAACACCGAUGGCGAAGGCAGCCCCCUGGGCUAACACUGACGCUCAGGCACGAAAGCGUGGGGAGCAAACAGG